rnacentral:lncRNA from 1 species
UUUAUUUGUGGUGGUACAAAUAAGAGGUUGUGGGUUUUGGGUACAAACGGCUUUUCAAAUAUCUUGUUCAUAUUUAUAUUAACAUAUCUUUUUUCUUCCUUUGUAGAUGAUGUGCUACCUGUAGCUGCAUGUAACAAACUAUUAGUUUGGGUUUUUCGGUUGUUUCCCAUCGUCACCUUCUAGCUUCGGAAUUUUCAAGUCUUCCUGUCGACUUAGCUCCGCAUGUUUAUAGUCAUGCUGCUGACUUUUCAUUUGUUGUAGCUCUUUUUCAAAGCUGUCUACUUUUGUACAAAGUAGUGUCAUAGUAUUGAGUAUCUUUUCAAUAGCAUUUUUCUUUUAUCUAGAUCCAUCUGUGUAGCUUUGUCUUGAAAUGUAAUCUGCAAUGACAUUUUUG